UUUUCUACUAAACUUGGGUACUUCUUCUUUGAUGGUGUAGGGUUUUAUCAUGAGUUUGAUUCCCUUCAAAACUACUAUGAUGCCUUAAUCGAUGCCAAGAAGAUCAUCAACAAUCAAGAUCGUCAACUACUAUCAAGUUGGACUUUGUUAAGAAAGGUGGAAUACUAGCUAUAACUUUUCCCCAAAAGAUUUGAAUUUUCUGGAAAUUAGAGUUUGUGGAGGAAGCUUUAAAGUGGUUACAUAGUGUUGCACAUGGUAUUGUUGUUGUUGGUUGUGUUUUUCCCUCGGAACCAAUAAAUUUGCCAGGGGUUAUGAUGGUGCAACAUCAAAUGCAUGGUCAUGUGGUGUUUAGAAACUACUAAAAUCCCAUGGAAGAAGCAGCUGAAUGUUGGCAAUUCUACAUCAUCUAUUGACAAGUCUCAGAGGAAAGGAUGAUAUUAUACUUCAAUUCCACGUGUUGUUUAAUGCAAGGAUUAUGGUGCAGAUUGCGGUGUGAGGAAAGGAUGAUGGUGUUGUGCAUCUUCAUGUGGCAGUCAUACAACCUCUAUUGCAGCUGGAAAAAAUGGAAUUUCAAUGAAGAUGUACAUACAUGAAUUCAGGAAAGUAAGUUGAAUGGCUCCCUGUUCUAGGUGAGGAAUGACGUCUCCCCAAUUGAUUACUUUUUGAUUAAAACCGGGAACUAACUUGAUGCUUUUUCUCUUCAUGAUUGUUGUGAAUAAAGCACUUUGUAGACUUUUUGAAGGCUUUAAUUCUCUUGCCUUCUGCCUUUUCACCUUAUGUGUUUAAGUUACAACUGUUCUAUUUUGUGAUUCUUGCUUCACAGAAGCAAUGUAAGACUCUAAAUUAUAGAGUACUCAAAUUUUAGCUUAUGUUUUUUGGUGCAAGAAAUAUUGGAAGGGGUAGCUGACAUUGACUUGGCAAUCAAUCUAAAGCUCCAAGAAGAUGUUCAGCAUGAUGAAUGUCUUGAUAGGAGAAUUUGGAAUCAGUGUGGGGGGUAAUAGAAUGAAGUCAAUUAAGGAUUUCCUUCCAUUGUUGAGUAGGUGCCAAUUGCACUCAAGGAUGAAGUUGUGCUUGUAUAUGUGUUCCUCUUGGAACUUAUAUAAAUAAAGAAAAGUGUGUCAAAUGAUACAUGGAUCCUUUGACUUAUGGCAAGAAAUAUAAAUGUCCAUAGAACCCUCUACCUAUUUAGUAGCACUUAAGUUUUUCUUCUUCUUUCAAGUUAUCAAAUUUGAAUGAAUGAGUAUGUGGUUUGAUCAAGUUGUUG